rnacentral:lncRNA from 1 species
ACUACUGCCCUUUUAAAGUGUCUGUGCACAGUCCUCACUUCAAUCAAACCUUUUAAAGCUACACCAUCACACUUUUGGAAAUCAAGCCGGCACUUCAAUCCACUUUACGCCACCAGGGGGCGCUAUUGCUCUUGUUUGGUUCCAGUGUUUUUUUGGUUGUUUUUGUCUGACCAUUACAUAAUUUCCCAUUUAGUUCCUGUUGGAAAUUAGUUUUGAUUGUGUGCACCUGUUUCUGUUAGUAUCUAAACUCUGCCUUGUGUCUUAUCCUUUGUUGGUUAGUUGUUGUGUUUGUUUCUAGCCUGUAGUUGUGUUCAGCACUUCAGCCUGUUUAUGCAGUUUUUCGUGCCUGUACAAGUCUUUGGACGCAAACGCAGCUGGCUAACGUUACAGCAGACGUGUUUCUCACGCUGUACAAGGAUGAACAAACUGCGGGGCAAAGAAACGCUUCUUCCCUCAUGCGUGUGAAGCACACAUUGCAGCGGGCAGAGGAGGCGUCAUCCUCACUUUGCUUCCGCGAAGCACCUGUGGCACAGGAGCAUAAGCGGCUUCAUAAACGCGCUCCUCAACAGCAGGAGUCGGUGUAAUCGGUCAGCAA